rnacentral:rRNA from 1 species
UACGUAGGGUGCAAGCGUUGUCCGGAAUUAUUGGGCGUAAAGAGCUCGUAGGCGGUUUGUCGCGUCUGCUGUGAAAUCUGGGGGCUCAACCCCCAGCCUGCAGUGGGUACGGGCAGACUAGAGUGCGGUAGGGGAGAUUGGAAUUCUUGGUGUAGCGGUGAAAUGCGUAGAUAUCAAGAGGAACACCAGAGGCGAAGGCGGAUUGCUGGGCUGACACUGACGCUGAGGCGCGAAAGCUAGGGUAGCAAACGGG